CAGCAAUGGAGCAUGCUGGCUCUUCUGAUAGCUGGGAAUGGACGUCCGGACAGUAGCGCUUACUUUAAGCCCUGCCCCCAAUUACUGAGGCACCCCCACUUAAAAUAAGCAGGGGGUGCUGCUCUACGUCUAACGCUGCUUCUCCUUGAUAAUGUAGACUGCAACAUCAGACCUAUGCAUCGAGUAGGUUACAAAGUGACCGUCUGCACUUGGUCAGUGGAUCAGCAACACAGUGUCAGGACUAUAUCCGAAAAUUAUGGAGCAGAGUGACUUGAUUCUAGGGCCGGUGAUCUAGAAAUUGUCAGGACUGGACCUCUUUCCAGCUGAAUCUCUACUAAAGUGCUAUGGGCGAACUACUAGAAGGCAGACCAUAGGAGGAGACCCAGUGAUGACAGCAAGGUGGAAGGAAAAGGACAAAGACAGUGACACCUAGAGGUCAAUUUUGAAAAUAGGUAGAAACGGCUAUAGGAGAUGGUACAAACUAUAGUAAAAAUAAUAUCUUUAAAAUAUAACAAAAAAUAAAUGCAGACAAAUAAACAGUUUGCUGGGCUUUGUGUUCAUUUAUUUUCCAAUACUGUUAUUUUUUUUAAAUUGCGUUUUCAUACAGAUGAAACAAAAAGGACGGCGCCACCUAGUGGACAGUUUUGAAGAUAUUGAAAGCGUAUUAUAUAAAGCAACAAGUAGAAAGUAAUUUAUUUGCAAAAAGUGCAAAAUCUAGAUAUCCCAUAUUACAGAAGUCCGACAGAACAUGUAAAAAACACAAUAGGAUC